UGGGGAAUAUUGGACAAUGGGCGCAAGCCUGAUCCAGCCAUGCCGCGUGAGUGAUGAAGGCCCUAGGGUUGUAAAGCUCUUUCACCGGUGAAGAUAAUGACGGUAACCGGAGAAGAAGCCCCGGCUAACUUCGUGCCAGCAGCCGCGGUAAUACGAAGGGGGCUAGCGUUGUUCGGAUUUUCUGGGCGUAAAGCGCACGUAGGCGGACUAUUAAGUCAGGGGUGAAAUCCCGGGGCUCAACCCCGGAACUGCCUUUGAUACUGGUAGUCUUGAGUUCGAGAGAGGUGAGUGGAAUUCCGAGUGUAGAGGUGAAAUUCGUAGAUAUUCGGAGGAACACCAGUGGCGAAGGCGGCUCACUGGCUCGAUACUGACGCUGAGGUGCGAAAGCGUGGGGAGCAAACAGG
rnacentral:rRNA from 1 species